rnacentral:lncRNA from 1 species
GCCAUAUUUGAUUUUUAAGUGAGCUAUCUUUAUUAGUCAACAUAUGGUCAUAGCUUUCAAAGGGGAGAGUCAUUGGAUUCACAGCAUGUAGUGUGGGUCUCUGGUCUGCUGUAAGAGGUCAUCACCAAGUCUUGCAGUCUCAGGCCUGCAACCUGCAUUCUGUUGUCUUUGUGGCUGGAGUGGGCAGAAACUAUGGGAAGUGCCUCAGAAAAAGGGGCUGGCAGGCAAAGACAUCCCAGUCUGAGGUCAAGAAAUGGAAGACAAGUUCUUCACACAACAAUCACUGGCAGAGCUGCAGCAGUCCAGGACAAGAACCCUUGAGGUGCUUUCCCAGCAAUCUAGGGGCCAGCAGAACAGGAAAAACCAGGGUUGCUUGGUGUGAGAUGCCAACCAUUUCAUGACCAGAAAAGGGAGAGACAGAACGAAACUCUGCAUUUGCAUGAAGCAUCUAGAGAAAAACCCCACUGGAGGAAAUGAUGCUGCAGCCACCAAAAGCUCUGUCCCAUGGAGAAGGUGUACAAAGAAGCCAGGAUCCUCAGAGCUUGCUGUGCACUCUAGAAUCAGUGAGUUGUUAAAAGACUGGAGAACAGAGGUGAAAGUGUGUGGAUGGGUUCACCUUUUGAGAAGAUGUGAUCUACAGUGCUUCAGAGGUCUCAGUGACUGAAGAUAGCUGUGCCUUCCAAUUCUCUUCAGCCAGUAGGUUAGAGUCAUGCCAGGACUUCCACAGGUAAGUGAAUACAGCUUGGAAGAUUGCCCCAAGGAUGGUGAUAACUGGGCCCUGCUGAGAUGGUGGCCUUUCUCUCAGAUGGGCUCACUCAGGGUGCAGAGGAGGGGCUGCAGCCUGGGGCACACCAGCAGCACUGGAUGGCAGUGUUACACAAGUUCAAACAGCUUCUUUUGGGUUUAGGAAUAGAGGCAAAAAGCAUGCCAUGCUUGUGACUGGAAAUGUAUGGGAUUUAGAGGGGGCAUCUGUAAGUCCUAUUGGGAUGUACUUGACCAGACUCCCUUCAUUUCCUUCUCCUAUCCUGUCUCUAUUCUUUGGAGACUACUUUCCCAUGCUUUCUUUUCUCCCAGUUCUCUUUUUUUUUUAAUGUGUAUUUAGGUGUUUCCCAUGCCUCUUCUGAAAAGGUCUUCCAUCUGAAAAGGUCAGAGAUAAACAGCAAGGUUUUGCUAAUGCAAAAGCAAUAUAUUAAACCCAAGAAUCAUAAACCCAACAAAAAACAAUGUCUUUUCCUCCUUCCAGUUCUUUAUCUUUAGGCAGAAAUGACCAGGAGGGGCAGAGUACCUUGACAUUAGCCCAGUAAAUGUGCAUUUAACAUUAAACUUGAUAGAACCAAAUAUACUGCAGGGAAAAUUUUGAAUUUGUGUGGCUGGCAGUUUACUCCUAUUAUGGAGUUUGCCUAUCACUGCUGGUAGCUCAGGGUAAUGAUUCCAGAGAUGACACUAACGCAGAGCAGUGUACAUGUUACCCCAGUACUGACACAUGUGCCAGCACUGUCCCUCCA